UUGGGCAGGAAAAGAAAGCCCAAUUCACAACGCCAACCCUACUCUCAGCCAAGUACCCAAAACACUCUUCCUGUUCAUUCAAACCUACCUCGUCCAAGUCAAAACGUAGAGGAGCACGUUCGCGGCGUCGUAGACAAGACGCUCGCGCGGUGGCGACCGUGAUUCCAUGAGGAAACUUACCUAAAAAGAACCGAUGCUCUCCUCUGGUCAUCUUUAGAUUGAGGCGAAGAUGGAAGCCUCCGUGUGCGUGAAUUGUGCGAAGAAGAGGAAUCUGAUUUUCUCCAUUGCUCCUGACUCGCACUCCAACGUUGUCUCGUUGCUCAUGGAUUCAUGCUCAUCAAUGUCCUCUUGAUCCAAUGGUUUGCGAUUCUAAUUCACGGAAUCAACGGGGAAUGUUAAUGAACUCAACGACGCCGAAUUGCGGCGGCAUCACCAGAUCGAGUUGAAGACCAUUGAAACAGGGAAAAGGAAGACUUACAGGUUAUGACCGACGUGAAGAAGAUGAAGACAAUCCUCUCGGCUUCGCGUCUUGCUUCGGCUUUUCCGGUAUGUUUUUACUCGGUUCUUUGUUCCUUCCUUCCUCUUCUUCUAUCCCGUUACCGCUUUUUCUCUGUGUUUUCUGUUUCGAAGUUCGUUGUUGCCGGUUGUGUAAUCGGACUUGCAGGUGGUGGUGAUUCGGUUGGAAGCUAGACGUUGCUCGUGCGUCUUGCAGUUGGUUCGAGAGGGUGAAGAAACUCCAUUGAGUUAAGGAGUUUCUGUUAGAGAUAGCUGGUUGAAGAUCAGAGAAGGAAGUGAGAAGAGGCUCGGUUGAGGGCUCUUGCAGGGAUUGCAGAACGAAAGAAGGUGAUGAAAUGGAACGAGGAAAAAAUCAGAGGGAGUGAAGGUGGUGAGAAGGUCGAAGAAAAAACUAGAGCCAAAACAGAAUCAUGAAGGGUGCAAGGUAGGAUGGACAAGAUUACACAAAAAUUGUGUACUUGUAGCUUUUGUAAAUUGUAUUAAAUGGAUUGUAAUGUUUUUGUAUAGGUUAUGUAACUUGAAUGCUUGGUUUGUAAAGAUAUAUGUUUGCCAUUAUGGUGGGAUUGAAAACUUUGAUUGGAUGGAAGUUUGAAUAUUAUAAUGAAUCGAGGUUUGGGUUUAGAAUGA